rnacentral:rRNA from 1 species
GGGGUCUGAUGCUUAUUGCACCACAUGUGUUUUUCUUUGAAACAAACUUGCUUUGGCGGUGGGCCCAGCCUGCCGCCAGAGGUCUAAACUUACAACCAAUUUUUUAUCAACUUGUCACACCAGAUUAUUACUAAUAGUCAAAACUUUCAACAACGGAUCUCUUGGUUCUCGCAUCGAUGAAGAACGCAGCGAAAUGCGAUACGUAAUAUGAAUUGCAGAUAUUCGUGAAUCAUCGAAUCUUUGAACGCACAUUGCGCCCUCUGGUAUUCCGGAGGGCAUGCCUGUUUGAGCGUCGUUUCUCCCUCAAACCGCUGGGUUUGGUGUUGAGCAAUACGACUUGGGUUUGCUUGAAAGACGGUAGUGGUAAGGCGGGAUCGCUUUGACAAUGGCUUAGGUCUAACCAAAAACAUUGCUUGCGGCGGUAACGUCUACCACGUAUAUCUUCAAACUUUGACCUCAAAUCAGGUAGGACUACCCGCUGAACUUAAGCAUAUCAAUAAGCGGAGGAA